GACGAACGCUGGCGGCGUGCCUAAUACAUGCAAGUCGAGCGAAGUUUUUCUGGUGCUUGCACUAGAAAAACUUAGCGGCGAACGGGUGAGUAACACGUAAAGAACCUGCCUCAUAGACUGGGACAACUAUUGGAAACGAUAGCUAAUACCGGAUAACAGCAUUAACUGCAUGGUUGAUGUUUAAAAGUUGGUUUUGCUAACACUAUGAGAUGGCUUUGCGGUGCAUUAGCUAGUUGGUGGGGUAAAGGCCUACCAAGGCGACGAUGCAUAGCCGACCUGAGAGGGUGAUCGGCCACACUGGGACUGAGACACGGCCCAGACUCCUACGGGAGGCAGCAGUAGGGAAUCUUCCGCAAUGGGCGAAAGCCUGACGGAGCAACGCCGCGUGAGUGAAGAAGGAUUUCGGUUCGUAAAGCUCUGUUGUUAGGGAAGAAUGAUUGUGUAGUAACUAUGCACA
rnacentral:rRNA from 1 species